GAUUUUUUUAGUAUUUUUAAAUGAGAAGUACUAAGAGGCUAGCAACUUUUGUGAUUUGUAGCUAUCAAGUAACUAUCAAUAAUAUUUUUAAUGGUGAAAAAUUUUAUCCAGUAGUGUACGAUUACUCACUUUUCUUUUGCUGGUUACAUACUAGCCAUAAUUUAAUAAAGUUGCUAGUCCCUAGACUUUUCCUUUUUAAAAAAUAAAAACACAAAAAACUAAAAUUUUUAGACACGGACUGAAAUUUUAUCAACAUUUUUUUAUACUUAAAUAUUUUAGUAAAUAUUCUUAUUUUCAUAUUCAUAUUUAUUUUGAACCCAAUAACAUUCUUAGUCAUAUACCUUUUAUACCAAACAUAAUACAAAGACUUAAUUUAAUUUCAGCUUUUAUCUUCCAUUCCAUGUUUCUCAAUCUCAGCCUUUCCACCAAAAGCAUCCUAAAUGUCAAUGACCUUACUACAACCAAUGCUUGGGAUAAGAUUAGCACGUCAGUCAAGUUAGAUAUCAAAUAUAUAUAUAUAUAUAGAUAUAGAGAGAGAGGGGUGAGUUUGUGCAUGAAAGGAGUUAGAAAGUAAGAGAAGUCCUCGUUGUAACAAUCCAUUUUUUUUAUAGACUCUAUCUCGAGCUCUGCUCUGCUUCAUCUGUUUUUCCUUCAAUGGCAAGGAACAUUG